rnacentral:rRNA from 1 species
GACGAACGCUGGCGGCGCGCCUAACACAUGCAAGUCGAACGGAGCUGAGAGAAGCUUGCUUUUCUUAGCUUAGUGGCGAACGGGUGAGUAACGCGUGAGUAACCUGCCCUGGAGUGGGGGACAACAGUUGGUAACGACUGCUAAUACCGCAUAAGCCCACGAUCCGGCAUCGGAUUGAGGGAAAAGGAUUUAUUCGCUUCAGGAUGGACUCGCGUCCAAUUAGCUAGUUGGUGAGGUAACGGCCCACCAAGGCGACGAUUGGUAGCCGGACUGAGAGGUUGAACGGCCACAUUGGGACUGAGACACGGCCCAGACUCCUACGGGAGGCAGCAGUGGGGGAUAUUGCACAAUGGGGGAAACCCUGAUGCAGCGACGCCGCGUGGAGGAAGAAGGUUUUCGGAUUGUAAACUCCUGUCGUUAGGGACGAUAAUGACGGUACCUAACAAGAAAGCACCGGCUAACUACGUG